UCUUCCUGGACCGGGGCACGAACCCAUGUCCCCUGCAUCGGCAGGCGGACUCUCAACCACUGUGCCACCAAGGAAGGCCCCCCUCCCUUGGACUUAAAAAAAAAAAAUCUCCUCUCCCUGGCAUAUAAAGUGGUUGGGAUUAUUAAAUUCACCCAACCAUUAUGUCUUCUUCUUGUCUCCCUGCAAACAGCCUUUCCAACCCACAGCCCCUGUGUGAGCUCCCAUGUGGAGCAGGAGGAAAAGCCACAGAGCCCAGGUCUUCAGCGCUCCAGAGGGAAGGAGAGUGUGAGACUCCCUGGUGGGUUGGGGCAGAGUCAGGCCUGGCCAGGUGCCCAUCUUGAGAAAAGCCAAGAUGGGGGAUGAGCUGGAGUGGCAGGGCCUGGAGGAUGAGAAGGUGGCAGGGAUGCAUUGGGGCUACGAGGAAACCAAGAUUUUCCUGGGAAUUCACAGUGAGUCCUGGAUUCAUGAGAAGCUCUGUACGUGCCAUGGGAACCGCCAGGUGUACCGGAUUGUGGCUGAGCAGCUGCGGGAACGGGGCUUCCUGCGGACCCUGGAGCAGUGUCGCUACCGGUUCAAAAACCUCCAGACUACCGCAAAGCCAGGAGCACCCACACUCCAGGCACCUGCCCCUUAUACGAUGAGAUGGAUGCCCUGAUGAGUCCCUGGACCCUGGCCAACACUUUUGAUGCCUUUGAGGUGGCAGGAGGCGUUCUGCGGACUAGAGGGGACUCCAAUGAGAACCAGAAGGCAGUGAUGGGAUGGUAAUGAGGUGACAGAGGAGCCCCAAGAGGAGCCCGGGAGCCUCGGCCCCCAGGCUUUGAGGGGGUAUCCCAAUGGUAAGCUCUCUUCCCCGAAGUGCACUUGAGAACAGUGGGAGAGAGGAAGCCCCGCGGGAAGAUUAGGGACCGUGAAUCAGGAGACAUGCUUAUGUCUGUCACUCUGGUAUCACUAGUCUGUAUGUGAAUGGGCUUGUCAGGAGGAAAAUCGUUGAUUUCUAUAGAGGAAUACUAUUUACAGCCGAUCUUUAAAUACUGAUAGAAACCAGUAGUCCAGGGUGACUCAGGAAGAUGAUUUUGAGGAUUUUGCUCUGCUUGCCAGCAAAGGGAUCUCCCUGCCUGCUUUUAGUAACAAUAUUAGAGAAACAGGAGAGUUACUUAAAGUUUCAGUUGUUUGUUUCCACCUAAAGUGCCCCAUAGGUGUGAACUCUGCAUAUAUUAUAUAUAACAGUCUGCCACUUUAAAGACUUGUCUGUUCCCGGGUACAUUGGUUAAACACCCUGAGCCCCCAUUUUCUUAUCUGCAAAAUGGAUACAGUGAUGGUAACUACCUCCCUGGGUUGUUACAUUGUUUGCAUUCAGCAAAUGUUAGUUCUCAUUGUCAUCGUUAUAAUUAUUGUUAAAAAACAUAAGCACAUUGCCCUGUAUGCUGAACUUAAGGGGGAAAAUUUCCUAAGUCAUUAACUUUUUCUUCUGAAAACUAGACCUUUCUGAGGCGUGCUUCCAUUCUCAUCCCACCUACCACUUCCACAUAUGAGAACAGAAGGCAAAUUACGUAAGAACCCCAUGUCCCUUCUUGCUUUUCCUUGGGCAGGACCUCCAGUUCCCCCAUCAGAUGGGGUCUCAAGUCUGGAGGGAAGUGAAGAACUUUGGAAGGACAGUCUCCAGGAUUUCAAGGAAAUUUGGAAAACUUCCCGUGCAGGUGGGAAAUGAGUGAAAGCUAGUAUCGUACCAACAAAGAAGUCAGACCUGGAAUUCUGAACAUGGAUGAGCCAGCACUGGGCAAGGGCGGGAGAGGAACCCAGGCACUUGAUCUUCCCGGGUUAUUGUUCUGUGGUGCUGAAACCACAGGAGUUGUGAGAAGAACAGAAAAGAAAGCCUGGUCUCUUUAGUUACCUUGGAAUAUGUAGCUAUAAACGAAGUAUUAGUGUUUAUGAUUUCUCUUUUAAAUUUCUAUCUGAAUUAUAAUUUUAAUUAACUAUCACUUAACCAGGUUAGUAGAAAAAGGGAACAUGGAUGACCCUAAAUUAAAACUACAGUCAACCUUAGAUUAUUGAAGGGGUGAAUUUCUCAUGAUUAAGAUGAGCUCCCUUCCGUGGUGGGGCUCAGUCAUUUUGCUGGAAUUUCAGGUGAUCUGGUAAAUAGAACUGUUCUCCUACUCAGGUUCUAGACCGACUGAGAGAGACAUGAGUAAGACAUUGAGAUCAGAAUGGCAGCUUUCUAAAUGGUGGAGCUCUUGAGGGUGUGGCUUAGCUGUGGGGUCACACAGAGCCCCAGAACUGAGCCACAGGCAGCACUGGACAACCACCACCUCGCCCUGCAGGGAUAGAGCCUUCACUGCUGAUCUGAGCCACGUACACCAGCUGCUUGUUAACCAAGGAAGUCAUUCCUCCCACCUGUAAGGAAGGGGAUGGAGAAUGGCCAGGAGAAUUAUUCUAAGGCACGUCUCUCUACCCAGAAGGCAGUAUCAGGAAGAGAAAGGUGGCUUUUUAGUACCGAUUGCCAGUUCGUAGGUGAUGGGAGGAGAGGGGGAGCUGAGCUUGGCGACAGAGCCUCUGAGGAGGGGGGAGCAGCUCUGACUGAAGAGGAAGAAGUGCGCCUGGACCUGCCUCCAGCCUUUCUCCACAUGACCUUCCUGCUUAGAAGCUGGGGGAGUGAGUGAGGCCUGGAUGUCUGCUGGUCUUGACAAUGGUUCAGCCAUAUUCCAGCUUAUUUGUUCCUGGUUAAUGGAAAAUUGAUUAAGGUCUGUCACCACCAAUAACUUGUUUUUAAGUGACCAGUAAGGACCUCUUUCACAUUGUUUCCAUUCUUCUGAAUCAGAAAGUAGGUAACCUUUGCAGUUUCAUUUCAUUCUUUCAGAUCUUGAAACAAGGACAGAGAAUGAGGAGGAUUCAAGCCAGGACAUUUCAGAGGCAGUAAAACUACCUGGGGUGUUAUUAGGAAGAUCCAGCGUGGAUGGUUCCCAAUACCUCAACUGGAGGAAAGACUGGGAAAGUGAAUAUGGGGCAGAGAAGCAGUGGGAAAUAUCCUUAGAAGAUGGACAAGAAUUGCUCUCUCCUCCAGAAAGAGACCUAGGUGUCUCAGUCUCUGAGGAAUGGCCUCUUCCACAGACCCUGGUUCCUGCUCCCCAGAAACCCAGCCCCACCCACGCGGAGCCGACCCUGGCCCUGACUCCAUUCUCCCUGGUGGACUGGAGUUCUGUGUUAUGUAGUUCAAAUUCUCUGAGAGAAGUUCAGAUUGGCUCAUCCUAGUGAAAGGAUUUGGGUCCCUGGGUCACACGUCCCUCCCUGGGCCAAGCCGCUGUGGCCGGGCGGGGGUGGCUGACUCACACUUUCAGAGGACCUGGAAGAGUGGGAGGCAGUUCCAGAGAAGGGUCUGGGCUGAGACCCUAAAGACACAGCCUUUAAAAGUACCCCUUGCUCCCCUGGACACGCCUCAACAUGCCUCCUCCUCUGGCCUGGUGACACCCUUCUCACCUUGACACAUUCUGUUCUGGAACACAUCCUUCUGAGCACACAUAUGCAAGAGCUGCCCCAAAUCGAAUUACUCACCUUCUUUACGUUGCUAUUCGCAGGGUUUCUUGCUUGCUCCUCUUUCAUCCUCUCUAAAUAGCUGCUUGGUCUUUCUUGUAUCCUUGAGCUUUUGUGAGGCCAAAACAGUUCCUAAACUUUCUCUGCUGUCCAUGCUGCUGGGUCUUCUGUCCCGCUGCCAGAGUGGAUCCUGUGCUGAUGUCAACGUGAAUCGCUUAUUUUCUUUCGGUCCCUUAAGGGGUUCUCUGGGGCAUCUUCCUAGAAUUGCUGAGAGAACCCCAGGAGUUCCUCCCUGUGGAAUAUGUCCAUUCUCAAAGAAGCAUUUUGGCAGUCGGAGGUGGGGAUUUGUGCUUGUCAUAAAAAUUGGGGGCACACCCGGUGUGCAGUGACGGGGGCCACGGAGAUGCAAUGCAAUUGUUGAGGCAGUCCUGCACUAGAGUCCUGCCGGGCAUUCUUGGAGGGCGGUGAUCCUCAGCCUGGUCCAGACUUGCAGCGUGCGCAUCACCCGGGAGCUUAUCUGAAGUGCAAAUUCUCCAGCCCCACCCUCAAACUUGAGGUGGCUUUUUAAUGUGGUGACUUGGCUGGGCGGAACCACAUGCCCCAGAAUUCACUCCCCUGUGUGUUUCUGGGUAGAGUGGACCACGAGAGACGUUUCUGAGUGAGACGUGGUGGGUGGAAGGGAAGCCGCAGCCGUGCUGGUUUUACGCUCGGGCGUUGGGGCAGGUGCGGCUGUGACUCACCGGUCAGUGUGGAUUAUCUACCUGCAGCUGCUCCACCUUCCCGUGACCUUCCUUAAGCUUCUCCUACCCCUAGGCCGGGGGCAUGUUUAGCUCAGUGAUGAAUCGUGCAGGUGACCUGCAUCAAGACUGGAGACAGCGAGAGUUGACAGGUUCCAGCUGGUCCUUGCCAUCCCCUUCCUGCCUGCCCUGUGGGCCCCAAGCUCCAGCAGCAGAUGGACAGGAAGACAGCAGCCUUACAGAGACUGUGGGCCCAGCUCCCACAGGUACUCCGUGUGUGUGUGUGUGUGUGUGUGUGUGUGUGUGUGUGUGUGUGUGUGUGUAAUAACUCCUAUUGGUCUGCUUCUCUCACAACACCCUGGGUAACAUUCCUACUGAUCAGAAACUCUGGGAACGGAGCCCAGCAGUUUGUGUUUUAACCAGUCCCCUAGGUGAUUCUUAUGCAUAUUACAGUUUGAGAACCACUGAUGUAGGGGAAAACCUUUUUACAAUUAUGUGUGCCUAGAACCUAACUUCUUUUCUCUCUCUUUUUUAAAAUUUUAUUUUAUUUUUAUACAGCAGGUUCUUAUUAGUCAUCAAUUUUAUACACAUCAGUGUAUACAUGUCAAUCCCAAUUGCCCAAUUCGUCACACCACCCCCACCCCCGCCGCUUUCUCCGCUUGGUGUCCAUACGUUUGUUCUCUACAUCUAUGUCUCAAUUUCUGCCCUGCAAACCAGUUCAUCUGUACCAUUUUUCUGAACCUAACUUUUUACAAAUACACAAGGAAAGUUUUGCACAGUUUUAAUACACCUGAAUUUCCCAAAAACUCAACUACUGCGUAAAACUGGAGAAAACAGUACUUUCUUUUGUUUAGAACUUUCCAAAGAGUUGUUCACCAACUCAGAAAAAUCACGUUCUUGACUCUUGGGUGUUAGUCACAAAUGCAGCACACCAGUCUGGCUGUAUAAUCAUGGCUGUCCUGCUCUUGAUGAUUUUACUACAUACACGCAGGCAUCUGAUUACCUCAUUAUGUGAAAGAAUGAGCAUUUACACUGAAAUACAGAAUCUUUUGUAUUUUAUUCCCUUAUGUUUUAAAGUGAUUUUGAUAUUAGGUUUGUAAACAAUCAAUAUUCCCUGUAAACUUUUAUUUCAGGAUAGUAAAGGGGUGUUUAAAAUACUGGUUAUAUACCAUACGACCCAGCAAUCCCACUACUGGGCAUAUACCCUGAGAAAACCAUAAUUCAAAGAGAGUCAUGUACCACAAUGUUCAUUGCAGCUCUAUUUACAAUAGCCAGGACAUGGGAGCAACCUAAGUGUCCAUCGACAGAUGAAUGGAUAAAGAAGAUGUGGCACAUAUAUAUAAUGGAAUAUUACUCAGCCAUAAAAAGAAAUGAAAUUGAGUUAUUUGUAGUGAGGUGGAUGGACCUAGAGUCUGUCAUACAGAUUGAAGUAAGUCAGAAAGAGAAAAACAAAUACCAUAUGCUAACACAUAUUUAUGGAAUCUAAAAAAAAAAAAAAGGGUCAUGAAGAACAUAGGGGCAGGACAGGAUUAAAGACGCAGACGUACUAGAGAAUGGACUUGAGGACACGGGGAGGGGGAAGGGUAAUCUGGGACGAAGUGAGAGAGUGGCAUGGACAUAUAUACAGUACCAAAUGUAAAACCGAUAGCUAGUGGGAAGCAGCUACAUAGCAGAGCUCGGUGCUUUGUGACCACCUAGAGGGGUGGGAUAGGGAGGGUCGGAGGGAGGGAGAUGCAAGAGGGAAGAGAUAUGGGGAUAUAUAUAUAUAUAUAUAUAUAUAUAUAUAUAUAUAGCUGAUUCAUUUUGUGAAUAAAACAGAAACACACCAUUGUAAAGCAAUUAUACUCCAAUAAAGAUGUUAAAAAAAAAAAGUGUUUUCACCAAAAUCUUAAUAUAGUUUGUCUAUGGGGAAUAAACAAUAAAAAUGUUCCUGGUUUGUAAUAAUAAAAAAAAAAAUCCAGAAUGAAGCCAUUUAUUUCCAAUACAUUAAAAGCUAUUUGUGUAUACUUUCUUUUUAGUCUUUUUGUAGCUUGUGUCUGUUUCUAAUAACCUAUGCCUGUUAGGCUAUUUUAUUUAAAAUUAUACUAUCUUUUGGAAUUCCAUUAAAAUGAGUACAUUUCUCCCCAUUGAAAAAAAAAUAUAUUGGUUAUAAAAGGACCGUUGUGGAGUAUAGUGUUGAGGCCACUGCCUAGUGUGAAAACCUGAGCUUGAGAGAGUGUGGUGUUGUGUUUGAGCACAGUUUCUUGGCCAAGUUUUGUUAUUAGGAUUACAGUACCUUCAUAAAAUGAGUUUUUAGAUUUUUUAUGUGAAAUAGUCUCUAUAGCAUGGGAAUUUUCUGUUCUUUAAAAGUUUGAAAAAAAAUUAUUUACAAAAUUGUCCCCCCUCCCCACAUUCUUUUUGGUGUUAUUCCUUGAGUAGUUUUUUCUUUCUUAUUGGAUAAUUCAGAUUCUCUACUAAAAAAAGAAAUUUAUAAAAAUCAAUGUAUAUUUUCAAGAAAAUUAACUGUUUGAGAUUUUCAAAUUAAUAUUGUGCACACUAUAUUCUCUUAUAAUUCUUGUUCUCUAGAUCUGUUGUGAUAUCCUUGUUCUAUUUUCUUUAUUCAUUUUAUUCCUUUUUCUUGCUUGAGGAGGUUUGGCUGUGGUGCCAGUCAUUUGCCUGUUUGUCCUCAGAUCCAUCCUGGCCCCGUACCCUGCUUGCUGCAUUUCCCAGGCUCCCUUGCUGACGAGCUCCUGCCAGGUUUGGUCCAUGGCACAGGCAGGAUGUUGGAGGGUGGAAGGAGAGAAGCCUGGGGCCUUCGUUCUCUGUACUUCCUGUAGUCUAGCUGUUUGCAGUCUCAGAUCCUGCCACGGCCCCAGCCACAGCCCGGCAAGAUCACUGUGCUCAGUUCCCACUGGGAGGCCCCAUUCCUGGGCUCUGGGCAACACACCCACCACCUCCUUUAGGGCCUCACCUUCCCUUGCAACCUCUUUCAGAUUCCACAUAAUGAAAUUCCCUCCACUGAAUUAUCUGGUGUGGAUUCAGUCUUCCUGGCUGGACCAUGACUGACUGAUGUAUCAGUAUUUUUCAGAAAAGUAGCUUUUCUUCUUUUAAAGUUUUUUUUUUUUUUUUAAUUUGGCUGCGUUGGGUCUUCGUUGCUGCCCAUGGGCUUUCUCUAGUUGUGGUGAGCGGGGGCUACUCUUCGUUGCUGCUUGUGGGCUUCUCAUUGCGGUGGCUUCUCUUGUUGCAGAGCACCGGCUCUAGAACGUGGGCUUCAGUAGUUGUGGCUCAUGGGCUUAGCUGCUUCAGUGUGGGAUCUUCCCGGACUAGGGCAUUCCCUGCAUCGGCAGGCGGAUUCUUAACCACUGCGCCACCAGCGAAGUCCCUAGAAAAGCAGCUUUUCAAUUCAUGUAUCAAUUCUACUAUUUUCUAAAUUAUUCAUCUCUUUUACUUGGUGAAAUAAUAUAGUUUAGCCAGUGCUAUGCUGGUAAUCCAACUCUCUUGAAAAAAAAAAAAUCCCUGAUUUGUCAUAUAGGUUUCCUCUUCUAUCUGAAAGCAGAGCGUUCCUGUUAAGCUUAAGCCGAAAUGGCGCACAGCAAAGAAGAAAUUACCUUUUUCUGGAAAUGAAUCUAUAGAAUCAGUUCUCAUGGGGCAAUGGAGGGGAAGAAAAGGAUUAGAGAGAAGACUCCAGACGAUGGUAAGAAGGAUCACAUCUUGAGUCUGAAAUUGUUUAAUUACAUCUCUCCAAAAUGUAAUGCUCGGGCUUCCCUGGUGGCGCAGUGGUUGAGAGUCCGCCUGCCGAUGCAGGAAACACGGGUUCGUGCCCCAGUCCGGGAAGAUCCCACAUGCCGCGGAGCGGCUGGGCCCGUGAGCCAUGGCUGCUGAGCCUGUGCGUCCGGAGCCUGUGCUCCGCAACGGGAGAGGCCACAACAGUGAGAGGCCCGCAUACAGAAAAAAAAAAAAAAAAAUGUAAUG